CCCUCAUGUUGAUGACAUUGAAAAGCACGAAAACAGGAACAUGAUUUAUUUUGCUGCGAGUCUAACGAAAAGAGGAACCUGCAUAUUUUUUAAAAUACAUUUUCAUACUAACACUUUCUCAGUAUUUCAAUAUAAUGUUUUACAUGAAUAUUUAUUUAUUUAUUUUUAAUAAUAUAUAUUUAUUUGUAUUCAUUUUAAUUUUCUUUAUAUAUUUAUUUUUUUGCUCAUUGUCUUGGGACACCAAACAGGUUUCCUGUGAGGUGUUACCAAGUUGAGUUCCUUGACCUCUAAAAUGAUCUUAAGGUGUCUUGACCUUUUGUGCCUUAUUCUAUUCUCAAGUGCUCUCACGCUUUCCAUUGGCCUUUUAUGUGCCAAUAAAACGUACACUUGAGCUUGAAGUCACUCAUUCACCCCCCUCCCAUUGCACAUCAGCCAAGAUGCAUUUCUUUGUUUUUAGAUUUUUCCUACGUUGACUUUUACAUGCUUGCUAUUGUUCCAAAGAGGCUGAUUGGACGUGGUUAUGACGCGCUGUCAGGUCCUGGUUCCAGAUCAAACACACUAGCAGCUGUCGUUGGCUUCGACCGAGGUUUGGCUGACCAACGGCGUCUCUCGUCGCCUUUCAAACAACAGACAUUAUCUUCAUCGGCACGUCGGCCGCCCGGGAGCGCGCGGCUGGGUAACACCUGUCCGCUCAAAAGGGGAAGGGCUGAGAAGCUCCGAAAAUGUGACAGUAAGACAAACACAGCGAGGGCUCAAAGCGCUCUCGCCGCUCGGUGCGGCGCAGCUGAGAGCCAUCCAAGCCGCUGAUGGACUUUCCAGCCAAUCUCUUCUUCACUUUCCACCACCCUGCCAACGAGCAACAAAAACCCCGGUCUCUUUCCUGGCGCUGACCGCGACCCCGGGCGGGGGGGCGACCGAAGUCGAACCCAACAUUAGAGCUGCACCGUACGUGUCAGCCGAUGAUGGAGCCAAGCAGCUAAUUCUCCGCCGUGCCGCCCUCCGACGUGUCCCGCGCGUAACCUCGCCGGGACGGGCCUCCGCGUUCGGCGCGCCUGGAGCUGUCGCCGCACGCCACCGCCACAACACGCUGCCUUAUAAAGACAGGUCACAUUUCAGUCAAAGCCGAGGAGCGGCUGACCUCAGCUGUCCCGUGAGCCGCACCCUGUGAGCCGCUGGAACUGCUGACAGGGAUGACAUCAUCACGGUGAUACCAGUCAGAGGCGCUUCUUCGCAUGGGUUCUGGAACAUCUUGGAUCCAGGGAUCCCUUACUGGCGAGAAGAAUGUUGUUGAUAGUAUGAGCAUUUGGACAAUUUUAAAUAAAAAAAA